GCGUGGGUAGCAUAAUGGUUUAGUGUGUCUGCCUUCCAAGCUCAAGCAAAGAGAGCAGACGAUCCGGGUUCGAAUCCCGGCUCGCGCA
rnacentral:tRNA from 1 species